rnacentral:miRNA from 1 species
GAAUAGAGGAUGAGAGAGAAGAGUAACAAAAGUGAAAACAAAAACUAAAAACUGAAAUCUAUUUGAAAUUAUUUUCACUUUUGUUACUCCUCUCUCCCAUCUUCUCUCUCA